UGGGGAAUAUUGGACAAUGGGCGAAAGCCUGAUCCAGCCAUGCCGCGUGUGUGAAGAAGGUCUUCGGAUUGUAAAGCACUUUAAGUUGGGAGGAAGGGCAGUAAGCGAAUACCUUGCUGUUUUGACGUUACUCGCAGAAUAAGCACCGGCUAACUCUGUGCCAGCAGCCGCGGUAAUACAGAGGGUGCAAGCGUUAAUCGGAAUUACUGGGCGUAAAGCGCGCGUAGGUGGUUCGUUAAGUUGAAUGUGAAAGCCCCGGGCUCAACCUGGGAACUGCAUCCAAAACUGGCGAGCUAGAGUAGGGCAGAGGGUGGUGGAAUUUCCUGUGUAGCGGAGAAAUGCGUAGAUAUAGGAAGGAACACCAGUGGCGAAGGCGACCACCUGGGCUCAUACUGACACUGAGGUGCGAAAGCGUGGGGAGCAAACAGG
rnacentral:rRNA from 1 species